rnacentral:rRNA from 1 species
UACGUAGGUGGCAAGCGUUAUCCGGAAUUACUGGGCGUAAAGCGUGCGCAGGCGGUUUUGUAAGCCAGAUGUGAAAUCCCCGGGCUUAACCUGGGAAUGGCAUUUGGGACUGCAAGGCUUGAGUUUGGCAGAGGAGACUGGAAUUCCUGGUGUAGCAGUGAAAUGCGUAGAUAUCAGGAGGAAUACCGAUGGCGAAGGCAGGUCUCUGGGCUAGAACUGACGCUCAUGCACGAAAGCGUGGGGAGCAAACAGG